rnacentral:tRNA from 1 species
ACCUGGCUGGCUCAGUCAGUGGAGCAUGUGAUUCUUGAUAUCAGGGUUGUAGGUUCAAGUCCCACAUCAGGUA